AAUGAACGCUGGCGGCAGGCCUAACACAUGCAAGUCGAACGGAUCCUUCGGGAUUAGUGGCGGACGGGUGAGUAACGCGUGGGAACAUACCCUUUGGUACGGAAUAGCCUCGGGAAACUGGGAGUAAUACCGUAUGUGGUCGAGAGACGAAAGAUUUAUCGCCAAAGGAUUGGCCCGCGUUGGAUUAGGUAGUUGGUGGGGUAAUGGCCUACCAAGCCGACGAUCCAUAGCUGGUUUGAGAGGAUGAUCAGCCACACUGGGACUGAGACACGGCCCAGACUCCUACGGGAGGCAGCAGUGGGGAAUCUUAGACAAUGGGGGAAACCCUGAUCUAGCCAUGCCGCGUGGUCGAUGAAGGCCUUAGGGUUCUAAAGAUCUUUCAGGUGGGAAGAUAAUGACUGUACCACCAGAAGAAGCCCCGGCUAACUCCGUGCCAGCCGCCGCGGUAAAAC
rnacentral:rRNA from 1 species